rnacentral:rRNA from 1 species
GAUGAACGCUAGCGGCAGGCCUAACACAUGCAAGUCGAGGGGUAUAUAGUGCUUGCACUAUAGAGACCGGCGCACGGGUGCGUAACGCGUAUGCAAUCUACCUAUUGCAGGGGAAUAGCCCGAAGAAAUUUGGAUUAAUGCCCCAUAGUAUUAUUGAUAGGCAUCUAUUAAUAAUUAAAGAUUCAUCGGCAAUAGAUGAGCAUGCGUACUAUUAGCUAGUUGGUGUGGUAACGGCACACCAAGGCAACGAUAGUUAGGGGUCCUGAGAGGGAGAUCCCCCACACUGGUACUGAGACACGGACCAGACUCCUACGGGAGGCAGCAGUGAGGAAUAUUGGACAAUGGGGGCAACCCUGAUCCAGCCAUGCCGCGUGCAGGAAGACUGCCCUAUGGGUUGUAAACUGCUUUUCUACGGGAAGAAACACUCCGACGUGUCGGGGCUUGACGGUACCGUAAGAAUAAGGAUCGGCUAACUCCGUGCCAGCCGCCGCCGUAACAC